GAGGCAUGCGGCAGCUAUAAUGCAAGUCGAGCGGACGUUUUUGAAGCUUGCUUCAAAAACGUUAGCGGCGGACGGGUGAGUAACACGUGGGCAACCUACCUUAUCGACUGGGAUAACUCCGGGAAACCGGGGCUAAUACCGGAUAACAUCUAGCACCUCCUGGUGCCGGAUUAAAAGAGGGCUUCUUGCUCUCACGAUGAGAUGGGCCCGCGGCGCAUUAGCUAGUUGGAGAGGUAACGGCUCCCCAAGGCGACGAUGCGUAGCCGACCUGAGAGGGUGAUCGGCCACACUGGGACUGAGACACGGCCCAGACUCCUACGGGAGGCAGCAGUAGGGAAUCUUCCGCAAUGGACGAAAGUCUGACGGAGCAACGCCGCGUGAGUGAUGAAGGGUUUCGGCUCGUAAAGCUCUGUUAUGAGGGAAGAACACGUACCGUUCGAAUAGGGCGGUACCUUGACGGUACCUCAUCAGAAAGCCACGGCUAACUACGUGCCAGCAGCCGCGGUAAUACGUAGGUGGCAAGCGUUGUCCGGAAUUAUUGGGCGUAAAGCGCGCGCAGGCGGCCUUUUAAGUCUGAUGUGAAAUCUUGCGGCUCAACCGCAAGCGGCCAUUGGAAACUGGGAGGCUUGAGUACAGAAGAGGAGAGUGGAAUUCCACGUGUAGCGGUGAAAUGCGUAGAUAUGUGGAGGAACACCAGUGGCGAAGGCGACUCUCUGGUCUGUAACUGACGCUGAGGCGCGAAAGCGUGGGGAGCAAACAGGAUUAGAUACCCUGGUAGUCCACGCCGUAAACGAUGAGUGCUAGGUGUUAGGGGUUUCGAUGCCCGUAGUGCCGAAGUUAACACAUUAAGCACUCCGCCUGGGGAGUACGGCCGCAAGGCUGAAACUCAAAGGAAUUGACGGGGGCCCGCACAAGCAGUGGAGCAUGUGGUUUAAUUCGAAGCAACGCGAAGAACCCUUACCAGGUCUUGACAUCCCUUUGACCACUCUGGAGACAGAGCUUCCCCUUUCGGGGCAAGUGACAGGUGGUGCAUGAUGUCGUCAGCUCGUGUCGUGAGAUGUGGAUAGUCCCGCAACGGAGCGCACCUGGACUAGCGGCAGCAUUAGUGACACUCCUAGUGACUGCCGUACAUCGAGCUGUGGAUGACGUCAUCAUCAUGUCCUAUGACUGGACCUCACACAACGGUGCCUACAAUA
rnacentral:rRNA from 1 species